AGAGUUUGAUCAUGGCUCAGGAUGAACGCUAGCUACAGGCUUAACACAUGCAAGUCGAGGGGAAACGACAUCGAAAGCUUGCUUUUGAUGGGCGUCGACCGGCGCACGGGUGAGUAACGCGUAUCCAACCUGCCCAUCACUUGGGGAUAACCUUGCGAAAGUAAGACUAAUACCCAAUGAUAUCUCUAGAAGGCAUCUGAAAGAGAUUAAAGAUUUAUCGGUGAUGGAUGGGGAUGCGUCUGAUUAGCUUGUUGGCGGGGUAACGGCCACCAAGCAACGAUCAGUAGGGGUUCUGAGAGGAAGGUCCCCCACAUUGGAACUGAGACACGGUCCAAAACGUCCCUACGGGAAGCA
rnacentral:rRNA from 1 species